rnacentral:rRNA from 1 species
UACGAAGGGGGCUAGCGUUGCUCGGAAUUAUUGGGCGUAAAGGGUAGGUAGGUGGUCUCGUUUGUCUGGGGUGAAAGCCUUGAGCUCAACUCAAGAAGUGCCUUAGAAACGGCGAGACUAGAGUCCUGGAGAGGGUCGUGGAAUUCCCGGUGUAGCGGUGAAAUGCGUAGAGAUCGGGAGGAACACCAGCGGCGAAGGCGGCGACCUGGACAGGUACUGACACUCAACUACGAAAGCGUGGGGAGCAAACAGG